UACGUAGGUGGCAAGCGUUAUCCGGAUUUAUUGGGUUUAAAGGGUGCGCAGGCGGCCUGUUAAGUCAGCGGUAAAAGCCCGGGGCUCAACCCCGGCGAGCCGUUGAAACUGGCGGGCUGGAGUUGGAGAGAAGUACGCGGAAUGCGCGGUGUAGCGGUGAAAUGCUUAGAUAUCAGGAGGAACAUCGGUGGCGUAAGCGCUUUACUGGGCCGUAAUUGACGCUGAGGAACGAAAGCCAGGGUAGCAAAUGGG
rnacentral:rRNA from 1 species